UACGUAGGGGGCAAGCGUUGUCCGGAAUCAUUGGGCGUAAAGCGCGUGUAGGCGGUCCGGUAAGUCGGCUGUGAAAGUCCAGGGCUCAACCCUGGGAUGCCGGUCGAUACUGCCGGACUAGAGUUCGGAAGAGGCGAGUGGAAUUCCCGGUGUAGCGGUGAAAUGCGCAGAUAUCGGGAGGAACACCAAUGGCGAAGGCAGCUCGCUGGGACGUUACUGACGCUGAGGAGCGAAAGCGUGGGGAGCAAACAGG
rnacentral:rRNA from 1 species